GUCCUAGCCGUAAACGGUGCACGUUUGCUGUAAGCGGAAUCGACCCCGCUUGUGGCGUAGCCAACGCGUUAAACGUGCCGCCUGGGAAGUACGGUCGCAAGAUUAAAACUCAAAGAAAUUGACGGGGCCUGCACAAGCGGUGGAGUAUGUGGCUCAAUUCGAUGCAACGCGAAGAACCUUACCUGGCCUUGACAUGUACGUAGUAGAAGGGUGAAAGCCUGACGAGGUAGCAAUACCAGCGUACACAGGUGCUGCAUGGCUGUCGU
rnacentral:rRNA from 1 species